rnacentral:lncRNA from 1 species
CGUUUUUUUGAUGAUUGAUUUCUGCCAUCACACAUUGAACUUCAAAUAAGCCCUAAAUUGAUGGACAUUCUAUUUCCAUUCACUUCAAUCUUCAUGGUUGACCUCAUUAAUAUUUCCCAUGAUUUUCGAUUGUGAAUAUCUGCACCAUAUUAAAUCAAAUAUUCAAUCAAUGACACCAUAAAUAGUUGACUUCUAAUUCUGGCAGAUACUUUUGAAAUUAAAUUUUAGCGCCAAAAAGAGUGUCACCUCGCAUUUAUCAUAAUCCAUGUGGCAACUUGUGAGAACAUCUUUUCCUAUGUGGAAACCUUU